rnacentral:rRNA from 1 species
CCUACGGGCGGCAGCAGUGGGGAAUAUUGGGCAAUGGAGGCAACUCUGACCCAGCAACGCCGCGUGAGUGAUGAAGGUCUUCGGAUUGUAAAACUCUUUAAGUGGGGACGAAGAAAGUGACUGUACCCUCAGAAUAAGCCUCGGCUAACUACGUGCCAGCAGCCGCGGUAAUACGUCGGAGGCAAGCGUUAUCCGGAAUGACUUGGCGUAAAGGGUGCGUAGGUGGUUUGACAAGUUAGUAGCGUAAUUCCGGGGCUCAACUUCGGACCUACUACUAAAAAUGUUGGGCUUGUGUGCAGGGGGGGUGAAUGGAAUUCCUAGUGGAGCGGUGGAAUGCGUAGAUAUUAGGAGGAACACCAGCGGCGAAAGCGAUUCACUGGACUGUAACUGACACUGAGGCACGAAAGCGUGGGGAGCAAACAGGAUUAGAUACCCCAGUAGUC